rnacentral:rRNA from 1 species
AUUGAACGCUGGCGGCAGGCCUAACACAUGCAAGUCGAACGAGUGGCGGACGGGUGAGUCAUGUCUGGGAAACUGCCCGAUGGAGGGGGAUAACUACUGGAAACGGUAUCUAAUACCGCAUACCAUCAGAUGUGCCCAGAUGGGAUUAGCUUGUUGGUGGGGUAACGGCUCACCAAGGCGACGAUCCCUAGCUGGUCUGAGAGGAUGACCAGCCACACUGGAACUGAGACACGGUCCAGAAGCCUACGGGAGGCAGCAGUAGGGAAUAUGGAAAAAUGGGCGCAAGCCUGAUGGAGCCAUGCCGCGUGUAUGAAGAAGGCCUUCGGGUUGUAAAGUACUUUCAGCAGGGAGGCGUUACCCGCAGAGGAAGCACCGGCUAACUCCGUGCCAGCAGCCGCGGUAAUAC